UACGUAGGGUGCAAGCGUUAAUCGGAAUUACUGGGCGUAAAGCGUGCGCAGGCGGUUAUGUAAGACAGAUGUGAAAUGCCCGGGCUUAACCUGGGAACUGCAUUUGUGACUGCAUGGCUAGAGUUUGGCAGAGGGGGUAGAAUUCCACGUGUAGCAGUGAAAUGCGUAGAUAUGUGGAGGAACACCGAUGGCGAAGGCAGCCCCCUGGGUCAAGACUGGACGCUCAUGCACGAAAGCGUGGGGAGCAAACAGG
rnacentral:rRNA from 1 species